CUUCUUCCGAAGCGCCUUCCCAACCGCAGAGUCCAGAAGUGACGCCAUCUUGUGCUCGUCUCUCAUCUUUACUUACCCGUAUUUCAGAAAGAGGCACUGCAGUGGAAAAGACAAACAUAUCCCAACCUUCACAUGAACCCCGGAGUUGUCACAUUGAUUCUGCAGCUUUUUGACCAUCAGUGACUGAUUCUAGAGGCCGAAACAUUCCCAUGACGAAUUCACUGCAAGCCCACAUUGAGUGAUUUGGGACAGGAGCAAAGAUCUGACCCCACAAUACAGCAUUUGUUUCAGUCUGCAUUACCUGCUGAGGAGAUGCAGAACCAUGCUCAUGGCUACUUUGUUGAGAACGAGGUACUGUUAAGGAAGUGGAUGCCAUGUGGUGACGAUGUUAUUGGGCAGCCAGUUUAUCAGGUUGUGGUGCCUUUGAAAUUGCGUGACUUGGUUUUGCAGGUAUCCCAUGAUAAGUCCGGACACAUGGGAGUUAGAAAAACCUAUGACCGCAUUUUGAGAAGUUUUUAUUGGCCGCCGCUGA